GGCCUAAUGGCCCAAUGGCAAGGCGCUUGACUACGAUUCCAUAAUCCGAAAUCAAGAGAUUCCAGGUUCGACCCCUGGUUAGGUCA
rnacentral:tRNA from 2 species